AUCCUCUCCAGCACCUGCUGUCUCCAGAUUUUUUAAUGAUCACCAUUCUAACUGGUGGGCAGGUGACAGUGUGUCUCAGUGGGAACAUAACCGACUCUCUAGUGAACUCUGAACAAGCCGAUGACUCAAGUCCAGAGUUUAACUAAAGAUGAUGCAUAAAUUACCUCUUCUGACAAUCCAGCCAGCAUGUCUUGCUCAAUCAUCAGAAAAGAAAAGAGGACAGACUGGGGCCUUUCGUCCACCGCUGGGGCUGGGCGGAGGCUCGGCCAGUGCCCCAACGCGAGGCUGCUGCUGUGCAGUCUGAGCCGCGGCCCCUUUAAGAGGGGGUGGUGCGUCAGCCAGU